CCUACGGGGGGCAGCAGUGAGGAAUAUUGGGCAAUGGGCGCAAGCCUGACCCAGCAAAGCCGCGUGAAGGAAGAAGGCUUUCGGGUUGUAAACUUCUUUUCUCAGGGACGAAGAGAGUGACGGUACCUGAGGAAUAAGCCACGGCUAACUACGUGCCAGCAGCCACGGUAAUACGGAGGUGGCAAGCGUUAUCCGGAUUUAUUGGGUUUAAGGGGCGUGUAGGCGGGAGUGCAAGUCAGAGGUCAAAACUCAGGGCUCAACCAUGACCCUGCAUUUGAAACUGGGUUUCUUGAGUGCUUGAGAGGCAAGCGGAAUUCGGGGUGUAGCGGUGAAAUGCGUAGAUAUAAGGAGGAACACCAGUGGCGAAGGCGGAUUGCUGGACAGUAACUGACGCUGAGGCGCGAAAGCGUGGGGAGCAAACAGGAUUAGAUACCCGGGUAGUC
rnacentral:rRNA from 1 species